UACGGAGGAUGCGAGCGUUAUCCGGAUUUAUUGGGUUUAAAGGGUGCGUAGGCGGUUUAUUAAGUUAGUGGUUAAAUAUUUGAGCUAAACUCAAUUGUGCCAUUAAUACUGGUAAACUGGAGUACAGACGAGGUAGGCGGAAUAAGUUAAGUAGCGGUGAAAUGCAUAGAUAUAACUUAGAACUCCGAUAGCGAAGGCAGCUUACCAGACUGUAACUGACGCUGAUGCACGAGAGCGUGGGUAGCGAACAGG
rnacentral:rRNA from 3 species